CACGUGGGUAACGUUCCCUCGGGCGGGGGAUAACCUUCCGAAAGGAGGGCUAAUACCGCAUAAGACCACGACCUCGCAAGAGGACGGGUAAAGCAGGCCUCUGCACGCAAGCUUGCACCUGAGGAUCGGCCCGCGGCCCAUCAGCUAGUUGGUAGGGUAACGGCCUACCAAGGCUAAGACGGGUAGCUGGUCUGAGAGGAUGAUCAGCCACACUGGAACUGAGACACGGUCCAGACUCCUACGGGAGCAGCAGUGGGGAAUCUUGCGCAAUGGGCGAAAGCCUGACGCAGCGACGCCGCG
rnacentral:rRNA from 1 species